UGAGUAACGCGUGGGAAUCUACCCAUCUCUACGGAACAACUCCGGGAAACUGGAGCUAAUACCGUAUACGUCCUUCGGGAGAAAGAUUUAUCGGAGAUGGAUGAGCCCGCGUUGGAUUAGCUAGUUGGUGGGGUAAUGGCCUACCAAGGCGACGAUCCAUAGCUGGUCUGAGAGGAUGAUCAGCCACACUGGGACUGAGACACGGCCCAGACUCCUACGGGAGGCAGCAGUGGGGAAUAUUGGACAAUGGGCGCAAGCCUGAUCCAGCCAUGCCGCGUGAGUGAUGAAGGCCCUAGGGUUGUAAAGCUCUUUCAACGGUGAAGAUAAUGACGGUAACCGUAGAAGAAGCCCCGGCUAACUUCGUGCCAGCAGCCGCGGUAAUACGAAGGGGGCUAGCGUUGUUCGGAAUUACUGGGCGUAAAGCGCACGUAGGCGGAUAUUUAAGUCAGGGGUGAAAUCCCGGGGCUCAACCCCGGAACUGCCUUUGAUACUGGGUAUCUCGAGUCCGGAAGAGGUGAGUGGAAUUCCGAGUGUAGAGGUGAAAUUCGUAGAUAUUCGGAGGAACACCAGUGGCGAA
rnacentral:rRNA from 4 species